rnacentral:lncRNA from 1 species
CGUUCAGAAAGCCGAGAUCCAAUUCGAGAAACCUCCCAGCCACCUUCUCUUAGCAGAGUUCGAAAUCCUUGAUGAAGGCAUCCUGAUCGAACUGGACCUUUAGAUCCUCCAUCUCGAAGGAGGCUUUGAACUCCUCCACUGCUCGGGCCCUUGCCUCCGAGAUCAGGGAUGGGAUCCGCACUUUCAGCUCAAAAACCUGCACCUUUAACUUGAAAACCUACGCCUUCAAUGCGGAGACCUCAGCCUCAGCCUUCUCUCUCUCCUCCUCUAAGAUAGUCCUCA